CUCGCCCCGGAUGAUUGGGUGGGCACCGCAGUGCGCGGUAUCCAGUGCCCAGUACUCCCCGUGCUCUCCCCCCUUGAUGAGGAAGCCAGGCAGCCUCCCUCUCUCUCCAUCCCCCCAUUUCCCCAUCCCCUGCCAAAUGCCGAACCUCUUCUGGUGGUGACAGGGUCAGGCACCCGCGACGUAGGGAGGUGAGAGCGACUCACUGCUACGGAUGUCGGCGGCCAGGCCCUGGAUGGCGUGGCGUGGGAGCGACCUGCGACAGCGAACACGCUUGUGCCAUCCAUGUGCUAGGCAGAGCGUCAUGGUGACUCGAACGCAUCCCAUCUGGCCCUCGCACUGGCCACUGGUGGUAGGCAGCCUGCGUGCCGCCCCGAGGCGGGAUGCACCAAGGGUGGCGACCGGCACGGUGGGGGAGCGGCUGUGCGGCUGCCUGCGACGCGUGUGCUGAGGGCAGAGGUUUGGGGCAGAGGCCGUGCUCAGAUGGCUGAGUCGGGUGCACUGCUGCAACGCGCGUGUCUACGUCUGCUCCGCACCACGUGGAUGGGGCCCAUGGUCGGGCCGGGGGCCGAGUGCCGCUUCGCUCAGGUCACAUGGCAGAGAGUCGGCACACGUUGGUACGACAAGGACGCACCGACGGAAGCUCGCGUUGAGGCCCUUGAGGAAACCACUUCAUUUCCUCUCCGUGAGUGUGUAUGCAUGUAUGUGUGUGCACACACAUACGACGCAUUCAAGUGAGUCGAUCCGCCAUCUCACGUUGCUGCGCUUCCCGGGGCCAAUUAAAAGAGGAAGGGAGUCUGAUUCGAGCAGCAGCUGCUUUAUUCGGCUUUGUAUGGAAGGAGGCGUGUGCGUGUGUGACGGCGCAUGUGUGCGUUUAAAAGGGGCCACGAGACAUGCGUAUUUUCCCCUUCGUUGUACUUCCCGGAUUCGCCGGUGACGCAACGGCAAGUGUUGCGGGCUCCGUAGAAGGCGAGUCGCGGCCGCCACUCCUUGUGCGUGUUAGAAUUCUUUCUUCUCGCUGCUUUUGACAAUGAUGUGCACGCGUGUUUUCGUGUGUGCGCGUCAGACAACGGGGAGGUCGGUGGACGUAUAGCAGCGUAUGGGUGGAGGUGACGGGGCCACUUUAACAGCGGGCACGAGAAGGCAGAAGGCUUCUCUUCUAUUUUUGACCUUCCUUCUGACAAACUGACUUCAAAGGGUAGAAACAAC
rnacentral:misc_RNA from 1 species